CAACCCUCAAGCUUCUGCUUGGUAUUGGGCUUCAUCCCGUCUAAAGGAUGUGCCUAAAACUCAUUGGCGGUUGCACUUAGCUCCCUUGCGUAGUUAUAUUUUUUCUCGCUUGGAAAUUUAGGUGUGACCCGCCUGAGAACCCCCCAUAUUUCUCAAG
rnacentral:misc_RNA from 1 species